AGUCUUCCUACUAGCAAGUCUUGUAUUAUAUUGAUGUAUCCUGUUAAUAUUUGUGAAAAAUGAUUUGAAGACAGAUGGCAAAUGAUCUGAAUGGAAGUCAUACAUAAACAGUGCAUUGUUAAGAUAGAUUAUGUCAUGAAGUUUGAGGAGACUAAGUUGGUAGAAUAAUGGAUUUGAAGGGGUCCUAAAAUCAGAAAAAGUUAAUAUUCUAAUUGCCCUUUUCUGAAGUAUAAAAAGGGGCUUAAGAGUAGUUGCAUAGGUGUUGCCCCAGGUCACAACUGAGUAAGUUAGAAAUGGAAAUAAUAAUGUAUAGUAAAGCAUUUUUAGGACUGAAAUAUUUACAUAAUGUCUUAUUUUUGAGAGAACACCAAUGCAACGUUUAAUCUUUUUAGCUAUAUGAAGUAUCUGAUAUUUCCAGCUAAGAUGGGAGUCAAUAUAUAUGCCUAGAUAUUUGAUGUACUUCUCUUUCUUGAUGCAUUUGCCAUUUAUCUUAAUACUUAGAGUAUAAUUAGAGAUUUUCUGUGGUGGAUGAAAAAUGAUGAAGUUUGUUUUAUCGAUAUUUAGAGAGAGCUUAUUGGCAGCAAGCCAGCUAGAAACAUGAAGAAGAUUUUCGUUGAUACAGGAUUCCAGAGCAAGCAAACUACUGUUCGAGUAAAAUAGGGUACUGAUAAAUAGGACUUCAAAAAUUUUAGAAGGCAAACUGGGAUGCUAUAAGGACCUGAUGCCUUGGAGGGAUUUAACCCAGAAAUAAUAUCCUCUAUCUCAAAUGCUGUGACCGGAGAAAGGACAAAACUGUUUACUAGCGGUGGACCAAGGAAGGAUUCAGGACUUCUAUCUACAUGUGGAAUUUUACUAGCAAGCUGACUACCAAUUGUAGCAAAAAAGUUAUUAAAGGCUAUUGCAAUA